rnacentral:rRNA from 1 species
GACGAACGCUGGCGGCGUGCUUAACACAUGCAAGUCGUGCGGUAAGGCCCUUUCGGGGGUACACGAGCGGCGAACGGGUGAGUAACACGUGAGCAACCUGCCCUGCACUUUGGGAUAACUGCCGGAAACGGUGGCUAAUACCGGAUAUGACUUCCUCACGCAUGUGGGGUGGUGGAAAGCCUUCGGGUGGUGGGGGAGGGGUUCGGGGUCUAUGAGCGUGGGGGUGGGGGGAUGGCCAACCAAGGCUUCGCCGGGUCUCGCGUCUGAGAGGGUGACCGGCCACAAUAGGACUGCGGCACGGCCCAGAGUCCUACGGGGGGCAACGGUGGGGAAUCUUGGACAAUGGGCGAGAGCCUGAUCCAGCAACGCCGCGUGAGGGAUGACGGCCUUCGGGUUGUAAACCUCUUUCGCCUGAGACGAAGCGAGAGUGACGUUAGCAGGUAAAGAAGCACCGGCCAACUACGUG